ACCCAGCUGGCUCAGUUGGUAGAGCUGGGGACUCUUGAUCUCAGAGUCGAGAGUUCGAGCCUCACAUUGGGCA
rnacentral:tRNA from 1 species